rnacentral:rRNA from 1 species
GGCGAACGGGUGAGUAACGCAUGGGUAACCUGCCUCUGAAUCUGGAAUAACCCGCCGAAAGGCGGACUAAUACCGGAUAUUGUCCCGGAGUCGCAUGACACUGGGAUGAAAGAUGACCUCUUCACGAAAGUUGUCGUUCAGGGAGGGGCUCGCGUACCAUUAGCUAGUUGGUAGGGUAAUGGCCUACCAAGGCGACGAUGGUUAGCUGGUCUGAGAGGAUGAUCAGCCACACUGGAACUGAAACACGGUCCAGACUCCUACGGGAGGCAGCAGUGAGGAAUUUUGCGCAAUAGGGGAAACCCUAACGCAGCAACGCCGCGUGAGUGAAGAAGGCCUUCGGGUCGUAAAGCUCUGUCAAGUGGGACAAAAUCCUGCGGGUAAAUAGCCCGCUGGAGUGAUGGUACUGCUAGAGGAAGCACCGGCUAACUCCGUGCCAGCAGCCGCGGUAAUACGGAGGGUGCAAGCGUUGUUCGGAAUUACUGGGCGUAAAGCGCGUGCAGGCGGUUCGGUAAGUCAGAUGUGAAAGCCCUGGGCUCAACCCAGGAAGUGCAUUUGAUACUGCCGUGCUAGAGUAUG